rnacentral:rRNA from 1 species
UAGGGAAUCUUCCACAAUGGACGCAAGUCUGAUGGAGCAACCCGCGUGAGUGAAGAAGGUUUUCGGACCGUAAAGCUCUGUUGUUGGUGAAGAAGGAUAGAGGUAGUAACUGGCCUUUAUUUGACGGUAAUCAACCAGAAAGUCACGGCUAACUACGUGCCAGCAGCCGCGGUAAUACGUAGGUGGCAAGCGUUGUCCGGAUUUAUUGGGCGUAAAGCGAGCGCAGGCGGAAGAAUAAGUCUGAUGUGAAAGCCCUCGGCUUAACCGAGGAAUUGCAUCGGAAACUGUUUUUCUUGAGUGCAGAAGAGGAGAGUAGAACUCCAUGUGUAGCGGUGGAAUGCGUAGAUAUAUGGAAGAAUACCAGUGGCGAAGGCGGCUCUCUGGUCUGCAACUGACGCUGAGGCUCGAAAGCAUGGGUAGCGAACAGGAUUAGAUACCCUGGUAGUCCAUGCCGUAAACGAUGAGUGCUAAGUGUUGGGAGGCUUCCGCCUCUCAGUGCUGCAGCUAACGCAUUAAGCACUCCGCCUGGGGGAGUACGACCGCAAGGUUGAA